GCCUGGUCUGUGAAACCGGGUAUAUAAUAGAUAUUAUUUACUUCACUGCAACUGUUAAACCUUGAAAUGUCAAUGAUUUUUACCAUCUUUUGCAUCAUUGCUUUUUCUGAUAAUUGUCUUUCCAGUUUGUCUAGUUCCUCCAUGGUUGUGAGAGGAAAGACAUCAUCCUCGCUGUCCACCACUGGAGCACUGGAACGGUUGUUUGCUGCAAGGGACUGGACCACUGAAGUCAGAUGAUUGAUCUUCAUGUCCAGUUCAUUAAGUGCCUCCAGAAUUGUCCUCUCAACAGCUGCAACACAUUAGAUGGGUGUUCACCCCAAGCAUCCUCUUGCUCAUUUUCAUUGGACAAGCUCACUGGAACAGCUGGAGUUAAGAAAGGUGAAGUUGUGAUAGAUGGGUGUUCUUCCCAAGUUUCCAGUUGGAGGUCUACAUGAGAGAAGCUCUCUGUUAAAUGAGCUUAAUUGACAUUACAAAAGGUGAGUGUUCACCCCAAGCAUCUUGUGGCUCAUCUGCCUGGGAGAAGCUCAUGGGAACAUCUGGAGCUGAGAAUGAUGGAACUGUACUCAUGUAGAGCCUGUUACCUUGACAGCUGGGGAAAGUCUCAAAACGGGCC